GGCACUCGACGGCUUGUGUGGUGUCCGCAACUCCUUACGCCUGCCUCACCCUUCUGCAGGCUCCAAUUCCCUCCCGCAGCAUCAUGCCCCAUCGCAUCAUCUCCUGGCGGUGCUACCCCUGGAGCACGCCCUUUUCCUGUUUAAAGAUAUAUCCAGGUGCCACCAGUGGCUGUGAGCUCCCCAUCAGUGGGUUCCGCUUGCAUCGCACUUCUGGUGCUGCGUAGACAGCAGCGCUGUCCCAAAGAGGUGGCAAAGAUGUCUCUGCCUUUGCCAGUGGCCUCCUGAGGCUUGCACAAAACCUGGGGCCUUGUAUCAAACCUGGGGCCUUUGUCUCAAAUUUGGGGCUUUCUGUCAAAUUUGGGGCCCUUGUAUCAAACUUGGGGCCUUCUAUCAAACCUGGGUCCUUGUAUCAAACCUGAGGCCUUGCAUCAAACCUGGGGCACUUAUAUCAAACACUUAUACCAAACCUGGGGCCUUAUAUCAAGCUUGGGGUCUUUGUAUCAAACCUGGGCCCUUGUGUCAAACCUGGGGCCUUGUGUCAAACCUGGCGCCCUUAUGUCAAACCUGGGGCGUUAUAUCAAACUUGGGGCCCUUGUCUCAAACUUGAGGCCUUGCAUCAGACUUCAUGCCUUGUAUCAAAGGUCCAAGAGCACCCUCACAAGCACAGGCAUCAGCACCAAGGGAAACAAUCCUGUCUCAUGGCAGGGGAUGUCAAGGAGCAAAGCAUCCCUGGGUCACAUUACACAGUUUUAUAUAUUUGACAAGGUUUCAUGGGGGCUUCAUCCUGCUUUGAAAGGAAAGCCCUGGGUGCCCAGUCUGGAGUGGCGGGUCUGCAUUUGGCCAUGGUGGCCAUAAUCUUCCUGGUCUGGCUUGUGCACAGCCUUAUCCAGUACCCACAAGUGGUCGGGGAAGGGCUGGAGAAGGAGACAUGUCUGCAUGGAAGUGUGUGCAAGCGCCAGGAGUGGCAGAAGAUUAGGCGGCCGUGGGACCUGGAGCAGAGUGGCAGCUCAUGGGGAGUUGUGUUCUGGGCUGUCUUGCAGCAAUGGCUGCUCUGGGCUGCUGCUGCAGUCCUGGUCCUGCUCGUGGUUCUGUGCUUUUGCCUCCAAAAAAGAAGCCACUAGCCAGAGUGCAGUGGCCAGAUCCAUCCAGCAACAAUGUGAAUGAGACCGCAAAGAUGAAGGAAACAAUGCUGUGGCAAAGAAAGUCCUGGAGAUGAGUCCCAACACACAGAGCUGAGCUUGUGGGGGCUUACACCUGAUGAGGGACUUAGUAUGUAUCAGGACUAGUUCAUGUUUAAGUAGUUAAUAUGUAGAUAGUGCACUUAUCCCCCACCAACUGAUAAGUAGUUACUAUGCAGUUAGUGGAGAUAUGUUCAGUAGAGAGAGUUAGUGUUUUUAUCCCUGCUCUCCUGUCUUCUCAAUACAACAUAGUGUUCCAGAAUCUGGAUUGUGCAAGUUCUUAUUGUAGUCCACCAGCACUAUUGUGCUGAAUUGGCUCUAAUCAGAAAUUCAGCCUAUUUGCACUCUGCCCAUCUUAUCUCACAUGAUGAGCUACAACUCAUUAGGGUUUAAUUUCUGCUGAAUUUCUCUACCUUUAUUGCAAUCAGUCACCCUAUGGCCUUGCCAGGGGUCUGGUGCCAAAGUGGGCAUGCUGGAUACAGAGACUGGGCUGCUGUAUCAGCAGUGAGAUUUGCUGCUGCACCUUUCCUCCAGAAGCAGAAGCAGGCUAUUGAUUCAGAGUUGAUUUAGCUGAGAAGCCUGUGGAAGGUAACUUCAGUGUGGACACUGUGCAAGAAGAAAUAACUUGAAUUUUUUUCAGAUAUUUUAUACUUUCGCUUCCCAUCUUAGAGCAAUCUUUGCAGCCAAGGGGAGAAGGUGUGCACUUAGCUGAUAAAAAUAAAUAGCAUUCUGAGCUGCAUUCCUGGAUUUAAUGUUUGCAGAUCUGAUAUUCACUUGUGUUGCUCCGGCAAGCAUUAGUACGCUCAAAUACUAAAUAUUUACAUAGUGUGUGUCACGUGUAGAUGGGGAGGAGGGAAAAUAUCAUCCCUCCCUCUUACAGGGGAGUUAAGUGACUUUUCCAUGCUUGAUCUGGACCAUAACAGGACCUGAAAUCCAUCAGAGCUCUUAGGGCACAGGGCUGCUCUCUUUCCCUGGGACUUUGGGAGCCAUGCUUUCAGGAAAGGGUGCCCCUUGCCAGGGGUAAAGGAGCAAUAAGGAAUUUGUUACAGACAAGCUUUGGGUGCCCCAUCAGAAAAUCAGGCCCUUGUGUGCACUGUGAUAGCAUCAGUGAGACCAGGCGGCUGUACCUCAUGCACAGUUUAAUUCCACCCAGGAAACCAUGCCAGGGACUUUAAAGAAGCAGCUGCCCCCUAAUUCCAAAAAUCACCAGACUUCUGAGAAAACUCAUCUCUUCCAUCCUGCACUGCAAACAAAUUGUUGCUCUUUCUGUUGACAACAAGCCAUAAAUUACCCCAUUAUAAAAGGGAACAGCAGCCAGAGGAGCUGUGCUCAAAUCAGCUAGCAGGCAUUUUAUUUUAGCAGGGAAGGGAAAAACCCUUGUGUUUAAAGGACAUACCUCCCAGUUUACCCAAGGUGCCCAGAAGCCUGCUGGCUUCUAUAGGUUCCUACCGUAAAGGUCACAUAGAUGGCUUGGGAAUAAUGCAUUCCCCUUGCUCAUGUCAGGCGGAUGGAGCUGAAAGUCUCUCAGGACUGGUUGUCUCCUGCAUGUUUAUUUUAUUCAGUGGUAUCAUGUCAGUGUGUCUGCCUAAAUAUAGCUUCUGUGAAGAGCAUUUCUAAGUUUCCUGUUACAGUUUCACUCACAGUUACCUUACAGUAAAUGGAGGAAAAUCAAUGUAAUCUCAAUUACACACUGCCUCUAAAUGUGCCUUGCUGGAAAUUCUGCCUGGAUUGAUUCUCCUCUCAUGGCAACUGCCCGUCCUCUCUUCCUUUCUCCCUCUCUCUCUCUCCUUUUUGUUGUAAUAAACCACAAUUUUAUAAUUUAAAACCCCCUCACUCUCCUUUCUCUGACAUGCCCUGCAGAUAAGGCUUUCACAGGAACCGACAGCGCAGAAACCAUGGAGUCCCUGGCCAGACCUGCAAUGGUGCAGCUGGGAUUAAUUGACUCUGUGGCAUUAGGACAUGACAAUUUCAGCAGCUUCAACAAAGUAAACUGAGCAGAAGGGUCAAAUUCAAGGGGCUUUGCUGAUGCAAACGGGCUCUCAGAAAUGAUGCACACUGGCACGUAUUUUUAAAAACUCAGACCUGAGGUGGGAUCUAAUACCCAGCAUGGUUGUAUCAGUAUGUGCAAAAAUCGAAGCACCAAAGCUCCAGCUGCUGCAGGAAAGUGGAGUGGAGUUAUGGCAGAGAGAGACCAAGUCACAAUAGGGGAUGACACCACUGUGCUGCCCAGCCCAAGAUGGAGCUGGGGCUCAGUAUCCUGCACUCCCAUCAUGGAUCUCCAGUUCCUCAGUCCAGCAGGGAUGUUUCAUCAGGAGAUUUUGGUUUUAUCUUGCUUUCACAUCCUGAGACUGAGCCAAAAGGAGAGCAAAGAUCCCUCAGGGGCUGAGCAGCUGCUUUGCAUUACAAUGUCUAUUAAAGCCUGGAGAUAAAUGCAGGGUUAUUCUCUGCUCUUUUGAAAGGAGAGACCCCGAAGAUGUGUUGGCAACAUCCUCUCUGCAGAGAAGGGUGUUGCAGCCAGAGGGACACCAAAGAGGGACCUCACAGACAUGUCACCAUUAGAUCUUAGAGAGUUUGUUCCUACAAGCAAGGAGCAGGUGGCACCACUCAUUUUGGCCUAUCUGGGUACUAUCUCAGGCUCUGAUCCUAUCAGACCUUGUGAGCCAAACAAGACAAGGCCGCAGCAGCAGCUGGCUGGGAAAUUUCCAGGAAAAAGAAGCAAGCAAGCAGCCUUUUCAAAUCUGACCCUCUUCUCAGUUCAGGGCCCCUCCAAGGAGACUGGGUCAUGAGGCAGGAUGGGGCAUUAAUGUCUCAAAUGCGAGGUCAGUUCAAAGACCUCACUCCCAGCCCAACUCUGUGACAUGGCCUGGACAGGAGGCUGCAUUUCCCAGAGUUUCUUUGACUCUUUUAAGUGUUGUGUGUUUAGCUUGGGUCACCAUUGAAUGGAGGUGGAUGGCCACAACAAAAGCCCUGAGCAGAAAUGGAACUUGCCCAGCCAGAAAGAGGGUAUAGGAUAAGAGGAAGGCUGAAAAGUAGAAAAGCUCCUGGAAGAGUGUCAUAUGUUCCACUCUCACCCUGAAGGCAAGUACCCAGCCGCUUAUAUAAGAAACAGACAUGGCUGGAGAAGCCUUGGCAGCUUCCAUCAGUGCCAGGAUGGAGCAGAGGGACAAUCCAAAGGACACAGAGAGCUAGCACAGGGAGUAUCCCAGUGCCCAGGGAUGACUCUGGCUGCCCUCCACUCUGCUUGGCAGGACUGGUGCUCAGUGAGCCUGACCCACCAGGCACAUUUCUCAUCCCAGUGUGGCACAGCCCUCAGCCAUGCACCCAUUACAUUGAGAAUGCUAAUGGCAUGGGCUGAAAGGAGCUCUUCAUGCUCAU